rnacentral:rRNA from 1 species
UACGGAGGAGGCAAGCGUUAUCCGGAAUUAUUGGGCGUAAAGCGUCCGUAGGUGGCUCUCUCAAGUCUGCGGUCAAAGACCGGGGCUCAACCCUGGAAAGGCCGUGGAAACUGGUGAGCUAGAGUGCGGUAGGGGUAGAGGGAAUUCCCGGUGUAGCGGUGAAAUGCGUAGAGAUCGGGAAGAACAUCGGUGGCGAAAGCGCUCUGCUGGACUGCAACUGACACUCAGGGACGAAAGCUAGGGGAGCGAAUGGG